rnacentral:rRNA from 1 species
UGAUCCAGCAUGCCGCGUGUGUGAAGAAGGCCUUCGGGUUGUAAAGCACUUUUGUUGGGGAAGAGCUUGUCUAGGUUAAUACCUGCGGUCGUGGACGUUACCCGCAAGAAUAAGGACCGGCUAACUCCGUGCCAGCAGCCGCGGUAAUACGUAGGGUGCAAGCGUUAAUCGGAAUUACUGGGCGUAAAGGGUGCGCAGGUGGUUGUGCAAGACCGAUGUGAAAUCCCCGAGCUUAACUUGGGAAUUGCAUUGGUGACUGCACGGCUAGAGUGUGUCAGAGGGGGGUAGAAUUCCACGUGUAGCAGUGAAAUGCGUAGAGAUGUGGAGGAAUACCGAUGGCGAAGGCAGCCCCCUGGGAUAACACUGACGCUCAUGCACGAAAGCGUGGGGAGCAAACAGGAUUAGAUACCCUGGUAGUCCACGCCCUAAACGAUGUCAACUAGUUGUUGGGGAUUCAUUUCCUUAGUAACGUAGCUAACGCGUGAAGUUGACCGCCUGGGGAGUACGGUCGCAAGAUUAAAACUCAAAG